rnacentral:lncRNA from 1 species
CAUAAGGAGUUUCAAGUUCCAAUUCAUCAGGAAGAUCAUAUGCAGCAUCAACUUCAACAAGUAUUCUAGCAAAUGAGAUUUUAUCAUAGUGAGCAGUAUACUUAUCAGUAUACAAUGGCUUCCCAAUCGCACUUGCCAACUUACUCAAUACUUCUACAGACCAAUAUCCCACAGGUAACCCUGGGAAUCGAAUCCAUAUAGGAAUUGUGCUUAG